CAGUCGCCGCGGUAAAACAGAGGGUGCAAGCGUUAAUCGGAAUUACUGGGCGUAAAGCGCGCGUAGGUGGUUUGUUAAGUUGGAUGUGAAAGCCCCGGGCUCAACCUGGGAACUGCAUCCAAAACUGGCAAGCUAGAGUACGGUAGAGGGUGGUGGAAUUUCCUGUGUAGCGGUGAAAUGCGUAGAUAUAGGAAGGAACACCAGUGGCGAAGGCGACCACCUGGACUGAUACUGACACUGAGGUGCGAAAGCGUGGGGAGCAAACAGGAUUAGAUACCCGCGUAGUCCCUGUCUCUUAUAC
rnacentral:rRNA from 1 species